CCUACGGGAGGCAGCAGUGGGGGAUAUUGCACAAUGGGGGAAACCCUGAUGCAGCGACGCCGCGUGGGUGAAGAAGUAUUUCGGUAUGUAAAGCCCUAUCAGCAGGGAAGAAAGAAGACGGUACCUGACUAAGAAGCCCCGGCUAACUACGUGCCAGCAGCCGCGGUAAUACGUAGGGGGCGAGCGUUAUCCGGAUUCACUGGGUGUAAAGGGAGCGUAGACGGCCGUGCAAGCCAGGAGUGAAAGCCCGGGGCCCAACCCCGGGACUGCUCUUGGAACUGUGCGGCUGGAGUGCGGGAGGGGCAGGCGGAAUUCCUGGUGUAGCGGUGAAAUGCGUAGAUAUCAGGAGGAACACCAGUGGCGAAGGCGGCCUGCUGGGCUUUUACUGACGCUGAGGCUCGAAAGCGUGGGGAGCAAACAGGAUUAGAUACCCGGGUAGUC
rnacentral:rRNA from 1 species